UACAGAGGUGGCAAGCGUUGUUCGGAAUUACUGGGCGUAAAGGGCGCGUAGGCGGCUUAACAAGUCACUUGUGAAAUCUCCGGGCUUAACUCGGAACGGCCAAGUGAAACUGUUAUGCUAGAGUGCAGAAGGGGCAAUCGGAAUUCUUGGUGUAGCGGUGAAAUGCGUAGAUAUCAAGAGGAACACCGAUGGCGAAGCAGCUGCCUGGCCCUAACACUGACGUGAGGUGCGAAAGCGUGGGGAGCGAACGGGG
rnacentral:rRNA from 1 species